UGGCGGCCGUAGCGCGGUGGUCCCACCUGACCCCAUGCCGAACUCAGAAGUGAAACGCCGUAGCGC
rnacentral:rRNA from 2 species